AAGGGGGACCCACGCAAAGGGGUGUCGUGAACCUGGUCAGGCCGAAAGGAGCAGCCAUAAGCGAUUACCUCUUGUGCGGCGGAUCAUCCUCCGGCGC
rnacentral:SRP_RNA from 1 species